rnacentral:rRNA from 1 species
GCUUACCGCCAUACCAUCCUGAACACGCCCGAUCUCGUCUGAUCCUGGAAGCUAAUCAGGAUCGGGCCUGUUUAGUACUUGGAUGGGAGACCGCCUGGGGAUACCUGUUGCUGUAAGCUUUU